UCUCUGGUGGUCCGGUGGCUAAGAUUCUGUGCUCCCAAUGCAGGGGGCCCAGGUUCAAUCCCUGGUCAGGGAA
rnacentral:tRNA from 1 species